rnacentral:lncRNA from 1 species
GACCUGCAAAGAAAGUCUAAACUGGAGUUGGGGGUGCUCCGGCAAGACCCUCCGACGCUCAAGUCAGUUCUCUGUCUCAACAGGAAUGGAGUGCUCGAACAGAAAUUUUAGCAGAGUUUUGAGAUAGAAAAUGAGAGCUUAGAGAAUAACGUAUCUGGAGUCCCCUUUUUAUAGGCGGAGGGUGUAAUAGAUUGAUAGCGACGUUUGUAACCGUCUGGCAGUGGUUCAUUCGGAGCCAGG